AUGAGUUCAUCAAGUGCAAGCAAGGCUAUUGUGGCAGCAAGUGUUGGAGUUGUGGAGGCAUUGAAGGACCAAGGGAUAUGCAGAUGGAACUCUGCUUUAAGAUCUGUGCACCAGCAAGCCAAAACCCAAUUCAGGUCAUUUUCUCAGGCCAACAACAAGCUCUCAUCUUCUUCUGCUUCAGCUGCUUUCAGUAAAGUCAAAGAUGAGAAGCUGAAGAAAUCAGAGGAGUCUUUGAGGACAGUCAUGUACUUGAGCUGCUGGGGUCCCAACUAA
rnacentral:lncRNA from 1 species